GACGAACGCUGGCGGCGUGCUUAACACAUGCAAGUCGAACGGUGAAGCGCCUUCCUUUUUGGUGGGUGUGGAUGAGUGGCGAACGGGUGAGUAACACGUGAGUAACCUGCCCCCUUCUUCUGGAUAACCGCAUGAAAGUGUGGCUAAUACGGGAUAUUCUGGGUCUGUCGCAUGAUGGGUCUGGGAAAGAUAUUGUUUCGGUGGGGGAUGGGCUCGCGGCCUAUCAGCUUGUUGGUGGGGUGAUGGCCUACCAAGGCGGUGACGGGUAGCCGGCCUGAGAGGGUGGACGGUCACACUGGGGCGGAGACACGGCCCAGACUCCUACGGGAGGCAGCAGGGAGGAAUAUUGCACAAUGGGCGCAAGCCUGAUGCAGCGACGCCGCGUGAGGGAUGGAGGCCUUCGGGUUGUGAACCUCUUUCGCCAGUGAAGCAGGCCUGCCUCGUUUGUGGGUGGGUUGACGGUAGCUGGAUAAGAAGCGCCGGCUAACUACGUG
rnacentral:rRNA from 1 species